rnacentral:lncRNA from 1 species
CCUGGUCCCCUCCACUCCUACCCAGCCAGCCCUAAGGACAGUGUCUGCUGCCACCUACUCCAUUACCUGACCCAGUGUCCACCAGUCAUGGAAAUGUCAGCCAGGGCUGUUCCUGAGCAUGUCCCCUUGGGGAGCUCAGGCCCAGCUCUGGGAGUCCACUGCUGCCUGUUCUCCCAGUUGCUCCUGGGUCAGCUAGGGGCAUCAGAGAGACAAUCCAGGUAGGGAACAGGGAGCUGAGGCUGUGGGAUCAGGGUCCUAGGGGCUGGUGUAGGAGCAGAUGCCCAGAGCCUCCAUAGAGGUUCCAGAUCCCUGAGGUCUGGAGGCCAGGAUGAUUUGGGGGCUCCCAAGGGAGAUGCCUCCUCAGAGGUAGCUGUCCAUCUUGUCCUGGGCCCCAGUGGUGUGCCUCAGGAACCCUGGCUGUGCUGGGCCUCUUCUUGUGUGGUUGGCCCAGGAAAAUAGCCCCAGCAGAGGGGCACCACAUUUGCAGGGGGUCAGCCCCAGCCCUGCCUAUGAAUGUCCAGGUGAAGCCACUCAGGGCAAGACCCAGACGUGGGUGGAUGAGGAUUUGGAAGAGGGAAGCAGGCAGGAAGCCCAGGCGGAAAUAGCUAGGGAGACCAGGCAUCUUGGGCCCUGUCCAGAAGGCCAGAUGUGUUUCAAGGAAGGCAGGCCAGAGCCAGGCCUGGACCUUAGGUGCAGUGUCGGGGACUGCUGUGGGCCUAGGCAGGCCUUUCCAGCUCCCAGCUACCCUGCCCCCAGGGACAAUCAGGGAUUCAGACCCUGAGGCCUGCAGGGAGAACAAUGGAGCCCUUGAAGGCCCCCCCCUUCACCCCCCAUUGUGCUUGGUGGCGAGAGGUGGCCCUGGCCCAGCCACACACCCUUGGGAAGGACCAGCAUCGUCCGGCAGGUGGAAGGGCUCACUGAGACUUGUAUUUCCCAGCCUGGAGAAGGUAGGGCUCUGCCUGGGAACCCCACCCACCUCCCCAGACUCAUCCAGAGCAGGAACUAGCGGUGAACCCCUCAGCCAGCUGAGGUAGGGUGACUUCACCCCUGCUGCACCCCACUCCUGGCUUAGCCUCAGGACCUGUGGGGAGGUAGGGGGGUUACAGAAGGACUCAUCCUGGGGAGCAUGCAACUGCUUGGAUUGUGCACUGAGGGGCCCCUCUGGGUGUCUGUUCAUCUUUGCCCAGCUGUGAGCAGGGGCCACUUAGGGGCUUCUGGGCAAUGGGUGGGGGAGAUGGGGCCUCAGGCUGCACAGGGCCUGCCUGGUGAGCAAGGCGUGCAUUUGGCAUCUCCCCCAGCAGCUGGGGCCCCUUGGCUGCAGCUGAUGAGCCCCCAGCCAGUUGCAGUGUGUUCAGAGGCUGGGCCUGGGCACUAUUUGGCUUGACUGAGAAAGCCAGAGGCAGGGGGUCCCACCCAGAGGGCCUGCCCCACUGCCAGGAGGCACUCAGCCUCUAAUCACUCAGGACCCCAGGCAGGCUGGCUGUCCUUUGAGCAAGCCCCUCUCACCUGCUGGGCCCAGGGCCUCAGCGGGGAGCAGAACAGACAUAUGGCCAAGGAGCAGGUCAUGCAAGGAUAGCAAACCUUGUGCUGAGUAGGG